CCGUCUAUAUACGUAUAGCAUAUCAAUAAGCGGAGGAAAAGGAAACUAACAAGGAUUCCCUUAGUAACGGCGAGUGAAGCGGGAAGAGCUCAAGAUUUGAAAUCUUCAAGGUUCUACCUUGACGAAUUGUAGUUUAAAGAAGUGUUUUUCUGUUAGAGGAGUGGCAAAAGUUUCUUUGGAAUAGGGACAUCAUAGAGGGUGAGAAUCCCGUAUUUGGUCAUUCUUUCUAGCUUUGUGAUACACUUUCAAAGAGUCGGAUUGUUUUGGGAAUGCAGUCCAAAAAUGGGUGGUAAAUUUCAUCUAAAGCUAAAUAUUGGCGAGAGACCGAUAGCGAACAAGUACCGUGAGGGAAAGAUGAAAAGAACUUUGAAAAGAGAGUUAAACAGUACGUGAAAUUGUCAAAAGGGAAGCGUUUUGACACCAGUGUUGUUUUUUCCGAAAAUCAAUUAAGAGUGGCUUGGUUUUUGUGUUGUAUUGACCUUAUCAGCUUUCUUCACUCUUUUUCGAGUCUUUCUUAAUGCACUUUUCGGUUAACAAGUCAACAUCAAUUUCUUUUGUUGUAAAAGGGUAUUUGGAAGGUGGCUUUCUUUUCGGAGAAAGUGUUUUAUAGCCUUAUACCUCUACAAUCGGAGAGAUUGAGGUCUGCAGCGUAGAUCCUUCGGGGCUAGAUACACUUGUGCUAAGUUAUAGCUUUUCAUAGACAACUUGUUGACUAUGUUUUAGUCAUGUAGCUUACCCGCUUGUGCUAUUUUUACCUACGCUUAGGAUGUUGAGUCAUCACACAUCUCU
rnacentral:rRNA from 1 species